rnacentral:rRNA from 1 species
AAUGGACGAGAGUCUGAACCAGCCAAGUAGCGUGAAGGAUGACGGCCCUCUGGGUUGUAAACUUCUUUUGGAGGGGGGUAAAGUGCGGCACGUGUGCCGCAUUGCAAGUACCCUUCGAAUAAGCAUCGGCUAACUCCGUGCCAGCAGCCGCGGUAAUACGGAGGAUGCGAGCGUUAUCCGGAUUUAUUGGGUUUAAAGGGAGCGUAGGUGGAUGUUCAAGUCAGCUGUGAAAUGCCGUCGCUUAACGUCGGACUUGCAGUUGAAACUGGAUAUCUUGAGUGUACAAGAGGGAAGUGGAAUUCGUGGUGUAGCGGUGAAAUGCAUAGAUAUCACGAAGAACUCCGAUUGCGAAGGCAGCUUUCUUGGGUACAACUGACACUGAGGCUCGAAAGUGCGGGUAUCAAA